GGGUUCCUGGCAUGAUGAUUUGUGAGUUAAGAUUAAAAUCACAUUGCCAGGGAUUACCAC
rnacentral:pre_miRNA from 1 species